rnacentral:ncRNA from 1 species
AGAAAAGCGAAGAUGGGAACAAGUAGUAUGCAGAGAGACCUACAGAAAGGAGCCGGCAGAUGAGAGGCCCAGGAGAACUGCAGUGCGAAUACCUCCCGGAGCUUCACACCGAAAAGCAAUGAGUAGGCUGUGACGUUUUGGUGUACGUUACAACACUUUGAGUAUCGCGUAAGCUGUACUUGCAGAGGCAGGCAGUGUGAGCUGUCUGUGAAUAAAGGUGGUAACACGGGAAUCUAUAAGCUCUCGUCCUUUUG